UCAGCUUUCCACUGAAAAUGCCGCAAUUUCUCGGAAUAGAAUGGGUGGAUCUAUUCUCAUCAAUUCAACGUAAAAAGACAUACUUGGGAGUUGUCUAUCACUUUAUGCUCACUUACCCACUUGCACUUUUCGUCACCAUUUUGCCAUUUUUCUUGGUAAGUUCAGGAAAUUUCAGAGCCAAAAAAACUUGUUACUGUAUUUUUUUUUAGCUUUUCACUUUCCAAUGGCACAUUUUGGCUCUCUACGCUUGCUGGUACUUCUACGAUAUGGAUUCUCCGAGGAGAGGUGGAUAUUCCAGUGAUUGGGUCAGAAAGUAGGUUUUUUUUAAUUAAAAAAUUCAAAAAAAAUUUGAAAAUUCGCAUUUCUAGAAGGCUUAGAAAGUGUGCAAUACAAAACAAAGAUAACAAAAACUCUUGACCACAGUGGGGACUCGAACCCGGGUCGAGUGGGUCCCAGCCAUCCGUGUUAGCCACUAGGCCAAAAAUGUAUUUUUUUUUGAAAAAAAUCGAUGUGGGGCUCAGAUUAACGGAAAUGUCAUGAAUUUUUCAAUUUUAUAACAAUUUUUCAUUCCAGAUGGCGUGUCAACGACUGGUUCGCCCAAUACUUCCCAAUCAACUUGCACAAAACUGCCGAACUCUCCACGGACAAGAACUAUCUGGUUGGAAUCCAUCCUCAUGGUAUCAUCUCCAUGGCUGCAUGGUCUAAUUUUGCCACCAAUGGAACGGGAAUCUAUGAGAAAUUCCCUGGAAUUCGCUGGAAUUUGUGCACUUUAGCACUUCAGUUCAGAG
rnacentral:sRNA from 1 species